rnacentral:rRNA from 1 species
CUUGACGACCAUAGAGCGUUGGAACCACCUGAUCCCAUCCCGAACUCAGUAGUGAAACGACGCAUCGCCGAUGGUAGUGUGGUGCUUCACCAUGUGAGAGUAGGUCAUCGUCAAGCUCCUAUACGAACGCCCUGAUCAGGUAACUGAUCAGGGCGUUCACUUUUGCGUCAAGAAAACAAUGAUGUGGCGGUGAGAGUCCCGGAGUGCCGGCC